rnacentral:lncRNA from 1 species
UUCCUGUCAGGAGGGCAGUCUGAAGUGGAAGCAACAUUAAAUUUGAAUGCUAUGAACCAAGGGCCUAACCCUUGGCAUGUCUCUUUUUCCUAUGCUCGAGCUCUUCAAAAUACGGUAUUGAAGACCUGGCAGGGGCUUCCAGAGAACGUGGAAGCUGCACAGAAAGCACUCUUGGUGCGUGCCAAGGCCAACUCUCUGGCUCAGCUUGGCUGCUACUCUGGCGAGGAUGAGAACGAGGAGGCUAAGAAAGGAAUGUUUGAAAAAGGCUACACCUACUAAAGCAGGUGACCAGCACCCUUCAUGGUUUCAUCUCUCACAAAUCAUAGUCUAGGUGGUUAUUAUGGAGUUUGGAGAGUUGUUUUGAGUAAACUAUUGUUUUGUUAGAUGGGCUAUAAAAUGACCACAAUAAGGACUCGCAGAGUCUGUUGUCUUCACUGGAGCAGUCAACUGCAACAGGACAGAAUAUGACUAUU